rnacentral:lncRNA from 1 species
UUUCUCCUACUGUUUCGUCAAGAUGUAAUCAUUAAAAAACGCAUCGAACCUGGUUUUUGUCAAAGCUAGGAUGCACAAUGAAACAACCUUCAGAAUCAGCUUCCUGUUUCAAAGCUGCUUGAAAAGUCCAGCCUUUUGAGACCACCUUUCUAACAUAGAUCCCAGGUAGGAUUGACCAUUUAAGUCCAUGUAGGCCUCAUAUUCCAAAUGCCCUUAUACCGCUCUAAGUACACCAUCUCAACACUUUUACUGCGCCCUACCAACUCUGCUCAAAUUAUUAAGAGCACGAGAUACAAAAAAUGCUAAUGCAAUGUUUCAUUUUUAAAGUGCAUUUUUAGGAAUGUGAAAAUCUGAUGGCUUUGCUUGAUGAGGUAAGAUGGCUAUAGCAAAGAAGGGUUAGUUGUGUGCACAUUAAAUAUAGAUAGACGGUAGCAUAUUACAGAUAAAAAGAGGGAAAUUUGCAUUGUAAUAAGCCCGCUGUUAGCAUCUUAACAUUGCAGUGAAGUUUAUUUACUGCAGCGGAAAUCAAACUCAUUUUACAGGUCCUGGGUUAUGAACCACAGUAAACUAAGGAAGCCGGGUGCGGGUGCAGGUGGGGAACGUAACCAGUGAAGUGAAAUUAGGGAAAUAAAAAGCCCUUGUUGACAAAGGUACAACAUUAAACCUCUCUGCAUUCUUCUGUUGCCUAAGUGUACUUGAGGAAGGAGUCUCCAUCACCUUGACAGCCCACUUUAUUUCUGCACUGCGAAGUUUAUUUACCUGAAUUAUUAAUGCUGCUUUUGUUUGUAGCGAUAUCUUAAUUUUUCCCCCCUUUUCAUUCACCUGUCACAAUUGUUUUUGAUUCACAUCUCAGAAUGAUGCGCAAAUCUUUAGGAAGCGAUUCAGUGUCACCCACAUUUUUGCUCUCUUAUCGCGUGCUUCUCUCUUCAUGGUAAAGCUGGGCUGUUCUGCGGGGGGUUUAUCCCCCCCCUCCAUGAAGACUGUCAGUCACAGAGAUUAUGCUUUAAACUUAACCAAGUGGAUACAAGAUCGAAUUUAAAUGACGUCUCAUAUGUCAGCAGAUAGUAUAUCAUGUAGAACCAGCAGAGCCAACGCACACAUAUCUUCCUAAAUGAUGUAAACAGUUUCUGUAGCCUAUAGUGUGAUCCAGAAACUGUUAGCGCAAAUAGUUAAGAACAUAGGAAGGUCCCUGCUGGAUGAGGUCCAGGACCCAUCUAGUUAUAGAAUUGUAGAGUUGUAGAAUUGGAAGGGACCCUGUGGAUCAUCUAGUCCAACUCCCUGCCAUUCAGGAAUAUGCAGCUGCCCCAUACAGGAAUUGAACCUGCAACCUUAGCAUUAUCAGUACCAUGCUCUAACCAAGUGAUCACCAUCCUGUUCUCAUAGCAGGCAGACAAAUGCCUGUGGUAAGCCUGAAAGCAACGUCCAAGUGCAACAGUAUUGUAAUAGAUUUGGGAGGGGACCCCCCACCUAAUCCCUAUAAAUUAAUAAAUGAUUGGAUUUUGAUUAUUUGGGGUGUUAAGGGAGAAAUACAAAUUGUCGAGGAAUUCCUGAGCUAGCCUGUGCCAAAUGAGCUGGCCAACUGUUUCUUAACAUGACAGGGCUAUGGAGGGCCAUUGGCAAUGCAAGAGAAUUGUGUUAUGUACUGAAGUUCUCACCCUGGGCCAGCAGGGGGAUACUGUAGAUAGUUUUCACUCAGGUCCACAUAUGCAAAUAAGGGAUUGAAUGAGACGUUCAGUGAUUGGAUAGUUACAGAAAAUGGUUACUGUUGUGUUGUAGUGGAGCUCUAUAUAAGCAGGCUGGCUGAAUCCUUCAGUUCAGUUCUGUUCUGGCCUGUGAAUAAACAAGAGCUGUUUGAAGAAUCGCUGUGUCGUCUGAUAUGUUCACCCACAACUUAACAAAUUGUCCUUUUCCCCUGUUGCUCCGAGGUGUGGACAGUGACAGAGGUUGGAAGGCUGCCAGCAUAACUGGGUGUGAGGUGAUAGGAAGAGAAUCCUGAGCAAGGUUCGCUGGGAAGAAGAAGAGGAAGGAGAAAGACUGGGAUCCAUCUUGGGUGGGCAGGCUGCUGGCGGGCUGCAAAAGAUGCCUUGGCCUCCAUGGCUGCCCUGCUGUGGUGGAUAUGCCCCUCUGGA